rnacentral:tRNA from 1 species
GCCUGAGUGGCUCAGUGGAUUAAGCGUCUGACUUUAGCUCAGGUCAUGAUUUCGUAGUUUGUGGGUUCAAGCCCCACAUCAGGCU